CCUACGGGUGGCAGCAGUGGGGAAUAUUGCACAAUGGGCGCAAGCCUGAUGCAGCCAUGCCGCGUGUGUGAAGAAGGCCUUCGGGUUGUAAAGCACUUUCAGCGGGGAGGAAGGCGUUAAGGUUAAUAACCUUGUCGAUUGACGUUACCCGCAGAAGAAGCACCGGCUAACUCCGUGCCAGCAGCCGCGGUAAUACGGAGGGUGCAAGCGUUAAUCGGAAUUACUGGGCGUAAAGCGCACGCAGGCGGUCUGUCAGGUCGGAUGUGAAAUCCCCGGGCUCAACCUGGGAACUGCAUUCGAAACUGGCAGGCUAGAGUCUUGUAGAGGGGGGUAGAAUGCCAGGUGUAGCGGUGAAAUGCGUAGAGAUCUGGAGGAAUACCGGUGGCGAAGGCGGCCCCCUGGACAAAGACUGACGCUCAGGUGCGAAAGCGUGGGGAGCAAACAGGAUUAGAUACCCGAGUAGUC
rnacentral:rRNA from 1 species